GGACCGUACCUAAUCAAAAGAUAGCCUUCCGCCCAUUGGCCCGGAGUUGCUAGGGCUGAGAGCAAAAGUGUAGCCAUUGGCUGGAGGCCCUAGCAGGACUCGACGUUUCUUCUUCCGAGCAGUGCGUGCGAGGCAGGAAAUGGCGCAGUGAGAAUAUUCUGGGAGAAACAGUAAAGUGAAUUUUGAGAGUCAUCUUUGGAGCCCAGCACACUGAGAUCAAGAUUCUUAAACAAAAAGGAUAAUAAAUGCCUCUUUCACCUUCA